rnacentral:rRNA from 1 species
UACGUAGGGUCCGAGCGUUGUCCGGAAUUACUGGGCGUAAAGAGCUCGUAGGUGGUUUGUCGCGUUGUCCGUGAAAACUCACAGCUCAACUGUGGGCGUGCGGGCGAUACGGGCAGACUGGAGUACUGCGAGGGGAGACUGGAAUUCCUGGUGUAGCGGUGAAAUGCGCGAGAUAUCAGGAGGAACACCGAUGGCGAAGGCAGGUCUGCUGGGCAUAACUGACGCUGAGGAGCGAAAGCAUGGGGAGCGAACAG